rnacentral:rRNA from 1 species
CCUGGCUCAGGAUGAACGCUGGCGGCGUGCCUAACACAUGCAAGUCGAACGAAGCACCUUACUUGAUUCUUCGGAUGAAGGUCUGGUGACUGAGUGGCGGACGGGUGAGUAACGCGUGGGUAACCUGCCCUGUACAGGGGGAUAACAGUCAGAAAUGACUGCUAAUACCGCAUAAGACCACAGCACCGCAUGGUGCAGGGGUAAAAACUCCGGUGGUACAGGAUGGACCCGCGUCUGAUUAGCUGGUUGGUGAGGUAACGGCUCACCAAGGCGACGAUCAGUAGCCGGCUUGAGAGAGUGAACGGCCACAUUGGGACUGAGACACGGCCCAAACUCCUACGGGAGGCAGCAGUGGGGAAUAUUGCACAAUGGGGGAAACCCUGAUGCAGCGACGCCGCGUGAGCGAAGAAGUAUUUCGGUAUGUAAAGCUCUAUCAGCAGGGAAGAAAAUGACGGUACCUGACUAAGAAGCACCGGCUAAAUACGUGCCAGCAGCCGCGGUAAUACGUAUGGUGCAAGCGUUAUCCGGAUUUACUGGGUGUAAAGGGAGCGUAGACGGCUGUGUAAGUCUGAAGUGAAAGCCCGGGGCUCAACCCCGGGACUGCUUUGGAAACUAUGCAGCUAGAGUGUCGGAGAGGUAAGUGGAAUUCCCAGUGUAGCGGUGAAAUGCGUAGAUAUUGGGAGGAACACCAGUGGCGAAGGCGGCUUACUGGACGAUGACUGACGUUGAGGCUCGAAAGCGUGGGGAGCAAACAGGAUUAGAUACCCUGGUAGUCCACGCC